rnacentral:rRNA from 1 species
UACGAAGGGGGCUAGCGUUGCUCGGAAUCACUGGGCGUAAAGGGCUCGUAGGUGGCCAACUAAGUCAGACGUGAAAUCCCUCAGCUUAACUGGGGAACUGCGUCUGAUACUGGAUGGCUUGAGUUUGGGAGAGGGAUGCGGAAUUCCAGGUGUAGCGGUGAAAUGCGUAGAUAUCUGGAGGAACACCGGUGGCGAAGGCGGCAUCCUGGACCAACACUGACACUGAGGAGCGAAAGCCAGGGGAGCAAACGGG